rnacentral:lncRNA from 1 species
GAACGUGGAUGCGCCGUCUGCUCGGCACUUUAUCGGGAGUUCGUGGGACGGAUCGUGAUUGGAUCGCAAAGACGUUCCACUACAUCAAAUGUGUUCUUUAACGCUUUUGUUUAGCGAUCUACAAGGGUAUGUAGAUGUAAUCUCUCCUCUCGUAGAUGGUCAUUUCCUAGAUUGAUCUUGGUGAAGCGUAGGAAUUUUUUUGUUUCUCAUGCAACGUUCUCCAU